rnacentral:rRNA from 1 species
UACGGAGGGUGCAAGCGUUGUUCGGAAUCAUUGGGCGUAAAGAGCGUGUAGGCGGCCUUACAGGUCAGCUGUGAAAACUCGAGGCUCAACCUCGAGACGUCGGUUGAAACCGUAAGGCUAGAGUCCGGAAGAGGAGAGUGGAAUUCCCGGUGUAGCGGUGAAAUGCGCAGAUAUCGGGAAGAACACCCGUGGCGAAGGCGGCUCUCUGGGACGGUACUGACGCUGAGACGCGAAAGCGUGGGGAGCGAACAGG